rnacentral:rRNA from 1 species
GAGUUUGAUCCUGGCUCAGGACGAACGCUGGCGGCGUGGAUUAGGCAUGCAAGUUGAGCGACGGUUAUCCUUCGGGGUAAUACGGAGCAGCGAACGGGUGAGUAACACGUGAACAAUCUGUCCCUACAUUCCGGAUAAUUGGUCGAAAGGCCUUGUAAUACGGGGGAGGAUCUCUGAAGGGCAUUCUUUAGAGAGGGAACACGCAAGUGGUGCAGGGAGGAGUUCGCGGCCUAUCAGGUAGUUGGUGAGGUAAUGGCUCACCAAGCCGACGACGGGUAGCUGGUCUGAGAGGAUGGUCAGCCACAUUGGAACUGAGACACUGUCCAGACUCCUACGGGAGGCUGCAGUCGAGAAUCUUGGGCAAUGCACGAAAGUGUGACCCAGCGACGCCGCGUGAAGGAUGAAGGCCCUCUGGGUCGUAAACUUCUUUUAUGGGGAAAGAAAAGCCUUCGGGCCUUGACGGUACCCCAUGAAUAAGCCACGGCUAACUACGUGCCAGCAGCCGCGGUAAUACGUAGGUGGCAAGCGUUGUCCGGAUUUACUGGGCGUAAAGCGUACGCAGGCGGACUGUUAAGUAGGAAGUGAAAGGUCGGAGCUCAACUCCGACACUGCUCCCUAUACUGGCAGUCUUGAGUGGCGGAGAGGAAGAUGGAACAAGUUGUGUAGCGGUGAAAUGCGUUGAUAUAACUUGGAACACCAAUGGCGAAAGCAAUCUUCUGGACGCAAACUGACGCUCAUGUACGAAAGCUAAGGUAGCAAACAGGAUUAGAUACCCUGGUAGUCUUAGCCAUAAACGAUGAUCACUAGGUGUUGGGGCUUUGCCUCGGUGCCGCAGCUAACGCAUUAAGUGAUCCGCCUGGGAACUACGGUCGCAAGACUAAAACUCAAAGGAAUUGGCGGGGGCCCGCACAAGCGGUGGAGCAUGUGGCUUAAUUCGAUGCAACGCGAAGAACCUUACCAGGGCUUGACAUGUAUCUGCAAGCUUCCGAAAAGAAGUCGCCUUCGAGGGUGAUACACAGGUGGUGCAUGGCUGUCGUCAGCUCGUGUUGUGAAAUGUUGGGUUAAGUCCCGCAACGAGCGCAACCC